UGGGGAAUAUUGGGCAAUGGGGGGAACCCUGACCCAGCAACGCCGCGUGAAGGAAGAAGGUUUUCGGAUUGUAAACCUCUGUCCUUGGUGAAGAAAGAGAUGACGGUAGCCAAGGAGGAAGCCCCGGCUAACUACGUGCCAGCAGCCGCGGUAAUACGUAGGUGGCGAGCGUUAUCCGGAAUUACUGGGCGUAAAGGGCACGCAGGCGGCCAUUCAAGUCUGACGUGAAAGCUCCUGGCUUAACUGGGAGAGGUCGUUGGAGACUGAGUGGCUUGAGGCGAUGAGAGGGGUGCGGAAUUCCCGGUGUAGUGGUGGAAUGCGUAGAUAUCGGGAGGAACACCAGUGGCGAAAGCGGCGCCCUAGCAUUGGCCUGACGCUCAUGUGCGAAAGCGUGGGGAGCGAACGGG
rnacentral:rRNA from 1 species